CCUGCACUCCUACCCCUAUGCUGCCCGCCUGCGCCACUCCUCCUCCCCCGCGAUACACACCGGCUCUGCCACGGACCGCCGACUCGGCCGCUCUGACACACACACACAAACACACGCACGCGCGCACACGCACGCAAGCACGCCGCUGAUGCAGCAGGACUGUUGUUGUUUCCCCACUUUGUGUACUAUACCACAGUUUUUCCAACCUCUACAUUGAUUACUGAAGUGCACUUGGUUUCAUGCGCGGAUCGGCGCGCAGUGUUGUGGCCCUGAGUCACCUCAAACCUCAGACUAACAGCAGCCUUCGUUUCCUCCUCCUCCACUGACCCGGUGAGCGUGCGCACACGUGAGUAGAUAUACAAACGGCAUACACACACACACACGCACGCACGCACACACACACAUACUGAUUGCACCGAUCCGAGACCAAAAUACAAUUUUAAUUUUUAAUAAAUUGGAAUAACUGAUGUCUACGGGUUCUAGGUCACGAGGUGGCAAAGUGUACAAGCAGACUAAGCGGCUGUACUUUCCAUGGGUGUGUAGGUCAUGAAUUUUUUUUCUUGGGUGGAAAUAUAUGGCCACAUAAUAAUAUUAUUGUAUUAGAUAAAGUGCAGCAUUCAUUAUGGUGAUUUAAAUAAGCACGAAGUAUGAUUGAUUCAUUAGGUCUAGCUGAAGUCUGCAUACAGAGGAUUAAUAGGCCUCUUAAAGAUGUGGUUUGAGGUCAGAGUCAGGGUGCAAUUGGGGUAAUAAGGCUGAUUUUCCUGGUGAUGUCUGCCACCUAAUGUCACCUGUGUGCUUAUUCCUCUGUGAAGUAUGAAGAAUCUGCCUUUGUGUCCAAAGUUUAAAAAUGGGAACAGAUUAGGCUACUUUUACUUUUGUUACCAAAUAACUUGCAAUUCAUAGAAGCAGCACUGAUAUACUCUGUAUCAUGAUUCUAAUUUGCUAGGUCAACAAUCUAUGUCCCACCAGCUCAGGGUAGCAUAGUGCACUUAGCAGUUAUCCACAAUCUUACACAGUAUUGUUCUUUCUUUGAGACUGAGAAUACAGCCUAAUUUUAUCUUCAGUCACAGGGCUGCAGUCUGUGCCAGGCUGUACUCAGGUGAUGGACAGUGGCACGACUCUCCUGAGGGCUCCACUGUUCUAAUUGCAGAUGGAGCAGGUAAGGGGGAGAGGGCAGAGUAUAAUUAGGAACAAGCUUUCACAGGCGCGGCUCUUAUUUUACCGCACUGAGAGAGAGAGUGAGAGAGAGAGAGGAUGCUCCACUUACACAGAUGGAGGACUGUGUGCCUCUGUCGAUGAGUCUGCCUCUCGGUCGGCCGGUGGCGAAAGCUUUGAGAAAGGCUAGAUCUGUGACACUUGCACUCUGUUAGCUCUUUCUUAAACGAGCAAGAAAAACAGCCGCACGUCUUCUAAAUUAGCUGCUCAAAUAUUUGCCAAAAAGAAGCUUGUGGUUUUGUGCCCAUUUCAAAAGCAAAUUUUACCAACGUUUGCGGUCUGGCAUUGAUUUAUAUUUUUUAUUAUUUGUGUGGAUAAAGUAUUUUGGUUCACAGGAGUAUUUAAUAAUACGAUAUUUUGGUUCUGUUUAGGUCUGUCUGUCCUCGUGAGGGACAGAGAAGUAAAGAGUAAAAUUAAGCACUGCUAUCUCAUUUUCAUUCACUCUUUCACCAAAAAAGUCUGUGACCUUGCAAACCAAAGAUGAUAAAGACUUCAAAGCACUUUUGUACGUUGCUCUGGAUAAGGGUGUCUGCCAAAUGCUGUAAAGGUAAAUGUAAAUGCAAAUGUAAAAAAAGUCUGCUAUCUCAGUCUCAUUCACUCAAUCACAAAAAAAAGUCUGUUACCUCAUACUUAUUCAUUCUUUCACCAUAAAAACUGCUAUCCCCUUUACUCAUUCACCAAAAAGUCUGUUAUCUCAUUUUUAUUCACUCUUUCACCAAAAAAUUCUUCAAUCUCAUUCUCAUACAGUCUAUUAUCAAUGUGUUUAUGUCUAUGAUCUCUAAUAAAAAUUGUUUCUUUAAUAAAUGGAACUGGUGUUCAUUUUAAAUGCUUAUAUUCUUAUCUCUUAUCACAUAUCACUAAAAAGCAGCAGAAGAUGCAGCAUGUAAUAAAUAUCUUUGUGAGAGAGACUUGGGUGAAAUGAAAGCAGCGUGAAUGCACAUAUGGGACAUACGGAUGGACUUGUACGGCAGAUAAAACUGUAGGUCACAGAGACCCAAUUAUAGAGUGUGUGUAGCCUAUGGAGUGUAUCCUUGUUCCUUUGGUUGAAGUAUCAGAAUUCUCUUCCAUCCUCAAGAGGAAGAGCCCACAGCCUGAAUGGCUAUGAAUGCUGCAGUGGCUACUGAGCAUCAGACAUGUAAGAGAAGCUGUUAGAUUGCAGCCCAAGACCACUGAUGUAGCAGAGUUAUUAAUUUUCUCUUGUGAAAUAAGAGGACAUGAGGGAUAAACCAGGGGGAGAUGGGGGCUUUUCACAUUACGCCAGCCAAUCAGUGACGGUAAAGUUAGCGAAGGGUUGUCACAUGAAUACUAGAGCUACCCAAGGACUUAACCCACAAAAGAUAUAAUGGGGGAGAGAGGGAGAUGGGAAGAGAAGGAGGAAAAAGAGAGCCAGGGAGAGAGAGAGCAUUGGUGUUUUCCUGGUAUUAAAUGGUAAACAACUCUGUUUUUAGUUGUUUUUAUACUGCAGGACUGGCGUUCUUGUGGAUUGCGGUGGGAUUCGGUGUUUCAGACGGCCUUUCGUUCUCCUCAAGCACUUGGGCUCCCUGAACGGCUGAGGCCAUCGUUGGAGCGAGCAAGGAAAAAAUAAUACCAGAGAUGUCUAAAAGCAGAGGCUAAAAGCGGCCUGAGCUAGCGGCCUGCUAAAAAAACAAAGCACUGCCCAGGGGAAGAGCAAAGGGUCGGGCAGCGUGGUCCAAACUUGCCACAGCCGCGUCUCUCUGCGUCCCCUCACUCCCUUUCUCACCUAUAUGUAGACGAAGGCUCACAGCAGGGCAGUAUAGCAGAUCUGACCACAGGUGCUUUAUCCUGGUCAGUCACAGUAAACCUGGAGCCUGGUUAAGGAUCAGGAGAGCACUGGGCGGGACAGGAAUACACCCUGGAUGGGAUGCCAGUCCAUUGCUGGACAUCAAACACUCACACAAACACACACACACCAAUUUGCACGUUCAUUCACACCUAGGGACAAUUUAGAGUCAGCCAUCCACAUACUGGCAUGUUUGGGAAGUAAGAGGAAACUGAAGAAAAUGUCAAACUCUGCACUUUUAGCAACUGGAUCCAGCUGGGGACCCUGGGGUUGUGAGGUGACAAUGCUGUACUGCCACCUUACUAUUUUUAUACCUUGAAAUAGAAGUGAAAUAAAAGUGCAUCUGGGUUACAGUAGAUAUGAAAGUUGGGAAUACACCCUGGAUAGGGUGCCAGUUUCUUGCAGUGUGGAACACAUACUUUUUUUUUUUACCAAGGUAGAAAUUUACAGUCACCACAUUGCCUACUGGCAUUUGAGAGGUGAGCGGAAACCAUAGUAUUAGAGCUCAGGAUCAAACCCUUUGCCUUGAAACACUACCUGUUGUGCCACCAU